rnacentral:rRNA from 1 species
CAGUAGGGAAUCUUCCACAAUGGACGAAAGUCUGAUGGAGCAACGCCGCGUGAGUGAAGAAGGGUUUCGGCUCGUAAAGCUCUGUUGGUAGUGAAGAAAGAUAGAGGUAGUAACUGGCCUUUUAUUUGACGGUAAUUACUUAGAAAGUCACGGCUAACUACGUGCC